AGACCUCAGCUCUGGCUCUGCUCAAAGAUGUAAUGCUGAAACAGUCAGUCGAUCCAUAUGGAAUUUCAGAGACAGAAAACAUUACAGAGCAUUACUCCACUGUCGAUGAAUCUGGCAUGAAGAUAACGGGGACAAGAAGCACCACCACCACAUCUAAACAAUCUGAUAGGGUCUCAGAACAUGUUCCAUUCUCGUAUGCCGAUGCUGUAAAGAAAAAGGCCCCAGAGGUGACGGUAUCCCCUGAGGCCUCUGCAGAAGAAUUAUUGAAAAAAUUCCAUGAGAUGUGGACUGAGAGUGAGAGUGUGUUUAAAAGUCUAGGCUACAGUGUCUCAGACGCGAGUUCCGAAGUCAGAGCUUUGCACGGUGUGUCGGAAGAGAGUGUAUCCCAUGGAGGGUCUGAUAGCAGACAAAAAGAAGUUCCAUAAAUCCUGUUUCCUCUGUGAACAUUGCAAAAAUAAAUUAAGCCUUGGAAACUAUGUCUCUCUUCAUGGACAUCUAUACUGCCUGCCGCAUUAUAAGCAGCUCUUCAAAUCUAAAGGACAUUUUGAUGAAGGAUUUGGACAAAUGUCUCAGAAAGAAUUGCUGAGUGGAGUACAUUUAACGAAUGCCAUUUCUGAAGAUCACGACUGGAGAUAUUCCCUUUCACAAAGCAGCUUUGGUUCUGUGUCAGACAUCUAUGAAAAAGAAUCUAAGGUACAAGCAAAAUCUGAUCAAAUCCCCCCAAUAUUCAAUAAAAGUUGUUUUUUGUGGCCCCCUCAUUUUGACCCGCCAAAGAAGACCUUUACCAUGGACCAAGACAUACAGUUAGUAAAACCAGUGUGGCCUCCCAAGAGUGAGUCUCCAAAGUCUCCAAAACUCCAACGACGGAAAACAUCACAGAUAAAUAUGCUUUGUUCAUAAGACAAUAAGGCUGGGUGCAGCUCAUAUAUGUUUAAAUCUGCACAAAAGAAGAAGUAAAUGAUUAAAGGAAUUACAGAAAGUCGAAAAACAGAGUAUUGAACAAUGUGAAGAAGUGAGAAUUGAGAACAAGAGAACAAUCUCUGAUGACACUGAAAUAGUAAUGAAAGAAAAGUGGAUGAUGUGGAUGUAGAAAGAUUGGUGAAUAAUGGGGAUGUAAUGAUUAAGAGUGACGUCAAUGCAAGUUCUGUGAGUUGAAAGAAUGAAAUUGAAUGUUAAAGGAUAUGAAAUAGCAUAAAUUGACUAUUUGAAUGUAAAAAACAAGAAAGUAAUAGCGUACAAAUUCAUAAUACAAACUGCAGUUAAACAUCAUAGAAAUUAAAAGAUGAUUUGAUCAGAUAUAGAAUGAGAUGAAAAUUUAAUAAAUAACGAGGUGCCAUAUGUAAAGGUCUCUGUAUGUGCUGCUAAUGCAUGAAUCCUUAAUUCUUAUAUGAGAAUUAUAGCACAUUGUCACGGUACUUAGCAAAAUAUUCUGUAAAGCUUUUUCCCUUUCACACUGUCCAUGGAGAGAGUACAAAUAUAAUUUUAUCUUUUACAAUUUGACCCAACAAUUUUUGUAUUCUGUCUAGAUUUUAUCAUGACUGUUUCUCCCUAUGAUCAUGCAUUUGGAAGCACCUGGGGUGCAUUCUAACUGAGUACAUACUUUUUCUUAUGUAAAUGUCAUAUCUAAUUGGUAUUUGUUUAUUUUGUUCACUGGUGUCCUACUCUAAAGAGAAAAUAUUUUUAAAUGGACAUUUUAGAAUAGUCUUUGUACAAGAGCAUUCCUGAUCGUUUAUUCAGGUCAGGCUGGUUCAUUGGUGCAUCUUGCAAAUUUAUUGAUCUAAGAAAAUUAAACAGCUCUAAUAGUCAA